CUUGAGGGAUGUUUCUCAUCAGUGUCAGAGAAUUUCCUGGCAGCGUUCAGCCAGGGCCUGCAUGCAGAGCUCAGCACUCUGAGCAGCGGCUGUCUGCACAACGCUUUGCUAGCCUUCCCUCAGUCCCUGCACAGCACAUGGGCCAUAGCAAUAGGGAGGCGUGUGCAGUGUCACUCGGUGACCCCGGGGAAACAGAUCGUGGUUCAGUGUUUCCACAACAAAUGAGGGGAUUUUAGUUCCACCAACAUUUUCAAGUUUUUAGCUUUUCAUCUCACUGUGGGAUAAUUUUUCUGGAAACUUCAACUACUGAAAUCCAAAUUUCUGUUCCACCAGCCAGCCCUACUCAUAAAAUUUGAGGUAGAGUGCAGCACACCAUGUAUUAGCAUGGGCUUUACAAGCAUGCAAAAUAUUAUUGCUCUGUCUUUGUACCGCCCCUCCCAUACUGUGAUCCUGGGCCAUGACGCCUAGACAAAUAAGUAAUAAGACCAUGAAAUGAAGUUCACAACCUAAGUCCCUCCCGAGGAGGAGGCACCAAGCCAGUAACAAACCAGAGGCAUAAAAAGACUUCCAUAGAUGGAGAUUGCAAAGAGCUGAAUUGUUUGCUUUACGCUGAGACACGGUGAAUAAGGGGAUAUGAUAAAGAGAUGCAAAAUAAUACAUGUUAUAUACAAAGUAGAACGGGAGCCCAGCCCACUGCCUUGUACUGAAUGUGUGAACAAAAGGACAAUAAAUCAAUUACAUUAAGACAGCUGAUUUAAAAAGGAAAUACUUAUACAGUGCAAAAGUUGCCAGUGGAACUAAUUGCCAAAAGAUACCACAGAGAUAUCAUGAAGAGCUUAGCAGGAGUCAUAAAAAGGAUUAGAUAUUUAUUUAGAUAAGAACAUCCAGAGCUUAAAAUAAGUUUGGAAGAGGUUGAAACCAUCAUGCUUCAGGUCAUAGAUCAGCCUAUAACUUUCCCUUCUUGCACCAUUGUCCAGUCGCUGUUGGAGACAUGUAACUAGACCAGGAGUCAUGUUCAGUUCUGUAACCAGAUUGUGAUCAUUUUAGUUUCAGAUUGUUGGCCUAUAAGAGCUCCUUAUUCUUUGUACUAUAACCACGAAAAGUCAUCUUAUUGCCAAGAUAAAAACCAGGUAUUUUAUUCAGCUUCCCCGAUCUAGACACCAAUAAGCGGUCACCACCGGCUUAGAAGCAGCAGCAUUGUGGAAUGAGACAGUGUGUCUGGCACAAUUAGCAGUGAACACUCAUUUGUCUCAGGGAGCAAGAGCUUGGGCUUGUCACCUCAUGGAACAGAUUUUAAUCUUAGAGUCUAGGGUGGGUCUAUCACUUUAGAAUUGUAUCCGAGCUGUUUUUAAUGUUCCUGGGCUAGUCAAUGGUGAGGCAUAACAAAUACUGAAUGCAGACAAUAGCCUGAGUGAUGGAACCCUCCCUUCUCUCACGUCUUCAGUGGCACCUUUCCAGAGAUACCAAACCACCCCUCUCCCUGACCCGUAACAUCCUUACAGCAUUAGCUGUUCCCAAGCCUCUAGUGAUAAACAUUAUGUACACCACCACUGGGCAAGGCUGCUCUCACAAGGGGCUGAUUCAUUGGUGCUUUUUGAGGAACCUUAUUCUGUGGGGAGAUCAUGUCAUCCAGCACACAGGGCAGAGCCUGACACAGAAAGCCAAGCUGUGAGUAGUAACAUUAGUCAUUUUUCCUGAGCUAUACAAUGGGCAUUUUUCUCCUCCCUUUGCAAUAUUCUCAGGGGGUACCGGUUGUAUCCCCUGAUGCAGGGAUUAGUACUAGGGCUUGUGGUUCUUUCUAGCUCCUGCUUAAUUCAGGACAAUUUCCUCUCUCAUAGGAUUUAGCACACACUACAGCGUACCCCUCCUUUCUACUGCCAUUAGUAACGCACAUCUCUUCUCCCCACUUCAGAAAGCUUCUCCUGAGGGGUUUCUCCCCUGCUCAGUCCCUUUCUUUCCAGAGGGAUUCUCAACCCCCAGAGUCACUUCAAGCAGGACUCAGCAGCACAAAGGUUGACCAGGAUGAUCAUCUCCACACACUGGCAGCGUACCUGUGGUCAGCAGAAUCUUUGUGGAGUGAGUUUGGGUACAUGCGUAAUAGAGCCCUGCAAGAGGAAUUAGAAGUGAAGCAGCUUGUUGAUGGCUCCAUGGGCUUCCGCCUCCUUUCUCUUGAAGCACAGAAUGGGGGAAGAUGCUCAACUGAGGCACUGCCAACAGGCCUGGCCUGAAGAAGCACACCAUGCCGAAGGUCAGAUUUAUUGCUCUGAUAAGUUUUUGCCUAUGUCGUAACCCAAGCAGUAGUUUGAACCAACUCCCAUGUGGAAGAAAAUGUUCUGCAAAUCCAUGAGCAUUCUGUUGGCUGAAGAACACAGCUCUUGGGAGGAAUGGUUCAAUCCAGAGGAGAAGACCCAAGCCAUUCUGUGCUUAUGUAGAUAUACUACAUUCCAGGCUGGUUUUGGUGUUUGACAGAUGGUAUGUUCUAAUAUUUCUCACUGUGUCAUGACAAUGUCCCAAAUGUUAGUCAAAUAUGUGAAGGGUGUAACGUGCUUGGAGCACUGUCGAGGCCCGAACUGUAACACUUUGUGUUGUGUAAACAUUUAAAUACAGUGUAAUUAAGAUUCAGAAACCUUGAAAGGUUGAGUAAUAUUAUUUUCAUUUGCCAGUUGAGGAAUGUGAAGAGUGGUUAAAUGACUGGCCAGAGAUGGCACAGAAAGUUAGUAGAGGGCAAGAGUUCUUGGCUCGCUCUUGAAACCAAGUCACGCCUCAUUCUCUAGUGAUGUGUACUCUCCAGAACUCGGCUAAGAUAUGCACCAGACAUGCGUUUUCAAGGACAGUACGGCCCUUGUACUCAAGAUUCAGACAUCACACAAACUUCUUUAAAUGUUUAUUAAGAUUGAAUUGUAGAACAACGGAUUGGAACACAAUGCAAUGUGGAGUAGAAUAUUUCUAAAUCCAUUUUUUCUAUGCAUAAAUGAAAAAUCAAGAUUAUACAAAAGAGAACAAAGUGCAGAACACAGUAAAAGUUUCUCAUGCAAUAAAGUUUGAUCUUAAAAACAGAAAAUAAGCGUAAUAGUGUAGAAAUAAAAAAAGUAUGCUGUCUACUCAAACACAUUCAUCUGUGACAUUGCUUUUCUUUAUCCCUUUUUCCUCAUAAAACUUAGUAUGUGUUUAACACACGCUUAUAAACAUUGCUAAACUCAGCAAGAGCUAUUAUACUGCCCCAACUUAAUAAGUUGAUAAAAAAGUAGUCGUCAUAUGGCCAGUUCACAACGGAACCAAAUAUUUUUUCAUUAUGAGAUGCCUAUAUGCAGCUUUCUAUUAAUAUGAGGCAUUUUAAAUAAGCUAGUCAUUUGGCUACCACAAGGGUUUGGUGUCCAUGUUACAUCAGAAAUAAAAAUUAGGAACCACCAAUUUGUUCAGAGUUAUUGCCAUCUGGGGUUUGUUCUACUAAAUACAACUUGGAAAUAAUCUGGCACUGAUGGGUAUAAAAAAAUCGAUAAAGCUAAUAGUGUUUUAGGGGUACAUUCCUAGAUCUUUAAAUGUGAUUUUAAAAUGUGAAUAAAAGGAGCCAGAGUUAAUCAAACGUGGACUUGUGUGGUGGGUUCUCUCUUAUGGAAGUUUGCACGGAGGCCUAUACGUGUGUAUUAGGGUGCAAUAUUUGCUGGGGAAAAAAAUUGUUUGCAGUUGUGUUACAUUGACAACAGCUACAGCACAACAAGAAGUCUGUUUACUGCUGGCAUCAGAAAUGACAGCUCCUGUUGCCAUCGGGUUAAUCAGGAUGCUGUAUGAUGCAACAGGUUUUCAGUCCCCUGCACAUCAGACAAAGCUAUUUGUCUCUCCGGGGGUCCAAAGCAACAGUUUGCAGGUUGGAAAGGCCAGGUUAAAAGCAAGACAAAUUUGAAGGUUGUUCACGUCUAGAAAUUCAAAUCCAUCUUACAGGAAAUUAUCUUCAAUUUAAGAAGGGCAAAACCAAGCAUCUUAAUGGCAGUACCUUUCUGCCCUGACUGGCUGAAGUCACGUGUUAGUGACACUGUGAAGAGAGAACGAAUUCUUCUCGGAUACUAUUUCCCCUUGCUGAAGUGAAAAAUCCCUUAAAAUAAAAACAGAGUUUAACAUUUGAGUUAGUAGAUGAUGCAUUUGCAAUAUGCUUAUUCUGGAUGCAACAUGAGAAAUAGAAAACUCUGGGUAGCUUAUCCUUUCAGAAUGACCCUUUUCAAUGCAAAUUUACAAACUUGCAGAGUGGCGGCUUAAGCUCAAGGAGUAUCUCUAGCCAUAAAAAUCACCUUAAGGAAAAAUAAAACUUGGUAUUUCUUACACAGUCAUCAAUACCAUUCAUGUGCAACAUUUGGCGUGCAUUACAUUUAUUUGGCCUAUCAACAGAAAACAAGGAAAAGACAGCUGCAAAUAGAAACAAUCGCUCUUCCACAACAGAUACUUCAGAUGCUUGGGAUUUCAUGCAGGUGUUCUUGAAACAGGAUAUAUAUUUUAUAGCUUGCAGCAGAUUAAGAAGUGGGGAAAAUUGGAAGAACUCAAGUGAAAACACAACAUUACUUGGUACAAUUCAGGAAGUACCUACAACCACCAAGGAUAUUUUGGCCCAAACUAUAUAGUUCGUUACCUAGUUUUACUUCUAGCUCGGUCACUAAACGUUUUAAAUUCUCUAUAUAAACUAGAGGUAAAACUAGGUACUGAACCGCAGGAUGUCACACAACCAAAUCACAUUCAAUUGCAGUUAGGAAAAAUAUGGAAAUGUUGGAGAAAAAUAAUCUUGACCAUCAAAAUAGGUUUCAAGGAGGGAGCCCACCAGCUGUGCUUCUGUUGUCUCCAGCGAAACUAUUUAACUUCCUUCUCCUCCCACCUUUUGUAAAUUUAGUCUUAACCCAGAGAGCUGCAAAUGGGUAUAAAGGGCCCAAUCCAAGGCCCACUUGAGUGAAUGAAAGUCCUUCCAUUGACUUCCCUGGGCUUCAGAGCAAGUCCUACAUCACCAAAACCCAAGAUUAGAAAGAUGGAUUCUAGCGAGACUUAGCCUUGAAUGACCUACUUCCUAAUACUGCCACCUCUGCCAUGUAGUUAUUCAAAUGCUCUGGGACAAGAGGAAUUCCUCCUAGCAU